CGUCUUCAAAAAGCCCGCUGGACCGCCUAUAUUGGAACUGUCGGGCAACCGACUAUGGCGAUAAACGCCGCGUGACAUAAGCGUUUCGGACCCGGGGGCGGUACCCGGCGCCUCCACCAUUCUCUCCCUCUCUCAUCCGAGCGGGACCGAUGGGGGCGAAAUAGGAUCGACGAGCGUGGUAAAGGCGCGGCUUUUGCUCGGUAUGGUUCCGCCGUGACGGGCCACACACAAGUGCUAACGAUAACACCGUUACACUCGCUGCUGCCGCCUAAACAGCGGACGUAAGCGCGGUUCGGGGGGGCACCGGGCAACAGAAGCCCCCUCACU
rnacentral:tmRNA from 1 species